rnacentral:rRNA from 1 species
ACGAACGCUGGCGGCGUGCUUAACCCAUGCAAGUCGAACGGAAAGGCCCCUUUGGGGGUACUCGAGUGGCGAACGGGUGAGUAACACGUGAGUAACCUGCCCUUGACUUCGGGAUAACUUCAGUAAACUGGGGCUAAUACAGGAUAGGAAUCCUUGCUGCGUGGUGGGGGUUGGGAAGCUUCGGCGGUUUUGGAGGGGCUCGCGGCUUAUCAUCUUGUUGGUGGGGUAGGGGCUUACCAAGGCUUUGACGGGUAGGCGGCCUGGGAGGGCGACCGGCCACAUUGGGACUGAGAUAAGGCCCAGACCCCUACGGGAGGCAGCAGUGGGGAAUAUUGCACAAUGGGCGGAAGCCUGAUGCAGGAACGCCGCGUGCGGGAUGACGGCCUUCGGGUUGUAAACCGCUUUCAGCAGGGGCGAAGCUUGUGGUGACGGUACCUGCAGAAGAAGCACCGGCUAACUACGUG